rnacentral:rRNA from 1 species
GCCAGCAGCCGCGGUAAUACGUAGGUGGCGAACGUUGUCCGGAUUCACUGGGCGUAAAGCGCGCGCAGGCGGAUCGGAAAGUCGAUAGGUGAAAUCUCCAGGCUCAACUUGGAGAGGCCCUGCGAUACUCCCGGUCUAGAGGCACCUAGAGGAGAGUGGAAUUAACGGUGGAGGGGUGGAAUCCGUAGAUAUCGUUAGGAACACCAGUGGCGAAAGCGGCUCUCUGGGGGUGUACUGACGCUGAGGCGCGAAAGCGUGGGGAGCGAACGGGAUUAGAUACCCCGGUAGUCCACGCCGUAAACGAUGAGCACUAGGUGUUUGGGGUAUCGAUCCCCUGAGUACCGAAGCUAACGCGAUAAGUGCUCCGCCUGGGAACUACGGCCGCAAGGCUAAAACUCAAAGGAAUUGACGGGGGCCCGCACAAGCAGCGGAGCGUGCGGUUUAAUUCGAAGAUACGCGAAGAACCUUACCAGGGCUUGACAUGUCGUUGACCGACUAUGAAAAUAGUUUUUCCUUCGGGACAGCGUCACAGGUGCUGCAUGGUUGUCGUCAGCUCGUGCCGUGAGGUGUUGGGUUAAGUCCCGCAACGAGCGCAACCCUUGCCGUGUGUUGUAUUUUUCACACGGGACUGCCCGGAGAAACCGGGAGGAAGGCGAGGACGACGUCAAAUCAGCAUGGCCCUUACGUCCUGGGCGACUCGCACGCUACAAUGGGUGGUACAGACCGUCGCGAUACCGCGAGGUGGAGCUAAUCGGACAAAACCAUCCUCAGUACGGAUUGCAGGCUGCAACUCGCCUGCAUGAAGCCGGAGUUGCU